rnacentral:rRNA from 1 species
UGCACGUUGUGCGGCGCGGGGGCGGACGUGCACUGCCACGCCGACGCCGCGUUCCUCUGCGCGCCGUGCGAUGCCCAGGUGCACGGCGCCAACUCCCUGGCGUCCCGCCACCGCCGGACGCGCGUACCGCCCGAGCCCAGCCACGUCCGCGCUGAGGUUUCGGCAACGACGAUGGGCCUGGACCCCUGGGCUGCGCGCCUAGGUGCCGUCGCAGCCCACCGCCCGCCCGAGCCCAACCACGUCCGUGCCGAUGUUUCAGCCAGGGCGAUGGGCCUGGACCACUGGGCUGCGCGGAUAGGCCUGGAUGAGGGGGCUACGCGCCUGCGUGCCGCCGGAGCCUUCCGCACGCUCCGGGGCGAGUUCGCCGCUGCAGCGCCGCGCAUUCCGUUGCCACUGCGUGUCCCAAUGGCAGCCGCGUUGUGGAGGGAGGUGGCGGCUCACGGCGGCGUCCACGAGCCCGGCAAAGCGCUCCAACGCCUAGCAGCCUGGGCGCACGUGCCAGCGAGUUCCCUUGUGACGGUGGCGAUCGGGCGCGCGCGCCAAGUAAGGACGGCCAUAGUGGACGUUGGGGAGGACACGGUCGACUGCGCGAUCGUGAGCCCACGAGAAAAU